AAAAAAAUGAAAUUGCACAACACAAUCAAAAUUAAAUACCAAAAAAAAAACUCUUUCAAAAAACAAUUUUUUAAAAAAAGAAAAUAUAUCUAUGUGCAAGCCAAAAUAACAUUAUGGUUCCAUUAUUAUCAAAUAAUGGCAACAGAAAUAAUGCUAAUUACAACUGUAACAAACAAUCCACUACUCUUCACAUGAUUAGCGAAGUUCAAAUUUGCUGAAUCAUCCGCCGGAUCUUCAUCGUCGUCCUGGCUGGGCUCCGGUGCACCGUCGUCGUCAACAUCAUCGUCUCCUCCCUUGCUGCUCUUCUUCUUUUUCUUUGCACCUUUCGGAGCUGGAGCUGGUUCUUCAGCUACAGUUCCUUUGAAUAAUUCUCUGGGGAGUAAAACUUUAUCGACUUUGUAAACGGAUAACGGCUCUUCGUCGUAUAAUGUACCGGAGAUGGUUGCUGUAACAACUUUGGUUUCCAAUUUCACAUCGUCUCCGUCGUUUUGUACGGUGAAAUCGUAUUUUUUUUUACCUUCAGUAGCUAGAGUGUUCAUUAAUCCGUUGUUGGAUUUCAACAUCCCCAUGGAAUUGUAAACAGGGAUUCCAUGGUACAGUAGUAAUGAAGCUUGCCCGUCUUUGGUUAGGUUUUUGAAUUUGGGCAUAAAGGCGGUGAUUACGCCGUCGGUGGGGCAGAACACUGUUAACCCACUCUGUACAUUUUCAGCGAAGGUUUUGGCUACAUCUGGGUGAGAUUUCAACAGAUCUGAGAAUGAUUUACAUCCUUGUUUCGCCAUUAAUGUAGUGACGUUAAGGUCACUUGGAGCAGCUACCGGAGCUUCAGCGGCGGCGGAAGUGAGAAUAUGACUGAUUUGAAUAACGGAGAUGUUGUACGGCAUUUCCACGACGGAUUUAACGAAAGUAGCAGCGAAAUGGCCGUCGUUGUCUUCAUUGGCGAAACCUACUUUCCCACCUUUCAUAUUUGUGAUAUUGAUGUACCCUGAAGUUCCCGGAGCUUCGCCGGUAGCUUGGAACAUUGUGGCGGUGAGGGUACUUCCUUUAGUGAUUUGAUGGAGUUUUUUGGCGCCGAAGUAAUCGGCGAAUACGUGGAGAGAAAGAACGUUUUUGAGAGUAUAAGUAGGGAGGUGUUUUUCAAGGAGAACAUUCAUGGCGGCAUUGUCAAUUGCGCAGACAGUGAUGGUCUGUCGGCGGUUGAUUUCAGCAGCUAAGUGUGUAACAGUUAAGUAAUGGUUGAAGGUGGAGAAUUCAGGGUGUUUUGCGAGGAUUUUAGUGAUGUUGUGAGCGUAUGUGGUGGUGGAGAGAAAUAGGAAUAGAAGAAGAGUGACGGAAAGUGGUACCGCCGGCGAGACCUUCAUUUUUGCCGGCGAGAGUAGAGAGAUGGAGAUUUGUUCUUUCAAAGAGGAGAAAGA
rnacentral:misc_RNA from 1 species